UAAUUAGCUUCAUCAUGCAUGAAGUGUUAUGAUCCAGGUGGUGUGCCCAAAGCCCAGGGGACCAAGGCUAAGGCCAAGGUCCAUCAUCCAUGAGGGCUUCAUGGAGGCUCUAGGGCUAGUUGGGCCCUAGGUUGAAAGGCUGUGGGCCUUUCGGGUUCUUAAGGUCUAGGUUAUGUGGGCCUCAAGGGACCAACUCUUUAUGGGCC
rnacentral:lncRNA from 1 species